rnacentral:lncRNA from 1 species
AAUGACUAGUUAUGGGUCAUGAAUUAAAGUGAUUUCAUGUAAGUUUUAUGAUGUCUAAAUCAAUUAAGAUAAGAGAAUUGGUGGAGAUAAGUGCCAACUUAAUUAAUAAGUGCUUAAUCACUUAAGACAUUUUACUAAGAAUGCUUCUUAAUCCCUCUUCUAAUUUUCGAGAUUAAGACCUUCCCUCUCCUUAACUAGAACUCCUAACUAACUAAAUAACUAGUAGUUAGUUAGUUAACUAACCCUAUCUCUAAGCAACCACCCAAGCAAGUGGCUAGACAAGAUCACAUCACUUAAACUCACAUCCCAUCACAAGCUAGUCUAGGUUUUGUCCCCUUAUCCUCUUCCACUCUUCCCUCCUUCAUAUCCACGAAAUUCCUCUUCAUUUUACCCUCAUUUGACCAGCCAAUACUCCAGGGAAUUACUCUCAACCUUCAUCUCAUUUUCAAGCACAAGAACUUCCUUCCAAAGCCAUUAAAACCAUGAACUAAAGGGCUGUUGUCCCUUUUGUGUUUCAGCCACCAUUUCACCCAUCUACACCUUCCUUUUGCUUGAUAUUUUUACCACCAAAUACCCCUGGAUGUUACUUGUUAUGAUACUCAAAAUUAUUGAUCCAAAACAGUGAGUAAACUACCCUUUUUCUUGCUCUUUUGCUGUGAAAAUUUCGUGACAGCAACAUAGCCAACAGAGUGGCUGCUUUGGAGCAUCAAACCAACAACCAAAAGUUCAUCUUCAGCCUUCCAUUCUUCAAGUAUUCACAUAAGGUGAGUUCAUACCCCUACAUUUUCAUGUUUUCUUCAAGUUUUAAGGGGGGGAAUACAAGUUAGAACACUAAACAUAACUUAAAUUUAAAUGACAGCUUUCUACGGAAAAGUUGAGUCCUGUUCACGGACUGUUUUGACCAUCUUAAACUUAAUAUUUUUCAAAACUGUACAAUAUGUGAAUAGUUCAAGUUUAUACCUUUCUAUGGACUACUCUCACGCGUUCAUACGAUUUUUCUACAAUUUAUGGCGAUUUUUAUAAAAACUAUAUGUCAUUUCAGAAGUGAUUUCGGACCAGUUUGUGAAUAUGCUCUUUUCACACUAGUUUGAGACCAUUAAAAAUCAUAAUAAAAAUUAGGAACAAAGUAGACUCAUUUUAUAAACUCUUAGAGGUGACGGAUUUAGUUUUUGACUUACGAUGAUUUUUCUAUGAGUUUUCUAAAAACAGGGACAGUAAAGGGUAAAAACUGUCAAAAGUGGUUUAUAGAUUUAUUAACACCUUCUAACAUUUUUGAGCAAUGUUUAUACAUUAAGGAAGUUAAAACACAAUCAUUUAAAUAUGUUUAAUUACCAUUUUUACAAAAGUGAUAAGUACAAAAAGGUCUUUAGUAUCAAACUUAAGGAUUAUUUCAUGCAAAGUUUCUAAUAAAAACGUAAGAAUAUGAACAACAAUUACGAAACAUACCAAAUCAUCUUUUAAAAUUUAUACAUAUAUAUAACCAUAUACAUAUAUAUGUUUUGUUUACAAACUUGUCUUCUACAUCAAAAAUAUACAUAUAUAUGUUUUGUUUACAAACUUGUCUUCUACAUCGAAAAUAUACAUAUAUAUGUUUUGUUUACAAACUUGUCUUCUACAUCAAAAAUUACACUUUUCAUAACAAGUGAACAUUUUACUAGGGAUUACUAUGCAAACGAGACACAUUUUUAGAAAACUAUAAUAGGUAUAGUUUUACGAGAGCAUUACAAACUUUUACAUACUAGAAACACUAUUUCAAGAAGUUUACUUUCAUAUACAAGAACAAACGAACAUUUUUUUCACGUAAAUCUGUUUUAUACUAAGUUUUGUGAGACAUUAACUUCACGUACGUUCGAGUACACAUUUCAAGUCCUGUAUUAUAUACCAGAAUCCCUUGGAGGGGGAGCAUGGUGUUUGUGUAUAGAUCUAUACGGGCUUGACAACCCGCGCCCUGACUGUUAGCUACAGUCCACCAUUUGGGGUGACAAACGUCAGAACAUUCCAACGCCUGAAGAACGUUGUGUAUAGGCAUUUCUAGUCAAUAGCAUGGUUAUAAAAUGCACAUGGAGUAUUAAAAACACAUUGAUUUACGGGGUUUUUCAGACGUAUUGGAAAUUUUAUACUUACAUACAUUUUCUAGAAACAAACAUUGGUCUUGAAAGAAGGCUACAUUUAUGCUAGUAGAAAAUAUAGGAUUUUCUAGGAACAAACAAACAAGAACAAAACAUUUCAUUUCAUACAAACAUUGUCAUUUAAUACUUAUGAAACUCACCAGCUUAAAUGCUGAUCUACUCUUUCAAAACUACUUGUAUGUCCCAGGGAUUCAGUAAUUACAGGUAACAAACAGCUUUUGAAGAAGGGACGUUGCGGCGCCAGUUUAAAUUCAUAUUUUGGCAUCAUAUUGUAAUUGGUUUUGAACAUGUACCUUUUAACAAUGUAAACUUUCAAUUAUAUAUAUGAUGGUUGUAUUGCUUUCUUUACUAUGUAUUCAUUUGUUACGUUACCACAUGAAGUCAUCCGCCCCCGAACGUUUCCGCCGUUCCGGUUUGGGGGUGUGACAGAUUGGUAUCAGAGCAUUGUUUAUAGUGAGCUAAGUAUAUCAAACCACAUAAUAUAUACAAACUAUAAAUACAUAGGGACUAAAACUCUCUGACUUAACAAUUUCAAAACAGGAACAUUAGGGGUCCUUUGCUGUUAAGUCUAUGUUUGCUAAGUGUAUACGUUAAGGUGAUAUAUACUAAAAGUUUUAUAGACUUAGAAUUUGAUAUUUUCACUUUACUUCCUUUUCCUUGUUUGGAUGUGGAUAUAAGGUAAGAUCACUUAUUCGACUGACUAUAUAAUCUUGACUGUAUAUGACCUGUAUACACAAGGCAACCAUAGAAGGACCAGGAAAGGACCGAGAUUUCACGAAAAAUGUAAGUGCAUACAAACAUACUAGUAAGGAGUCAUAUUGGCAACAAAACAAAAAGUAUUAAGAUAAGUUAAACACUGUGAGUAAGCCUCGAGGUAUGUAAUCAUGUCUGGGAUGAAUAUAGCUUGAUCAACUAUAUUUAUACAAGAGGUGACCAAUGUAUGCCGAGGAAUGGUCGUAGUGGAUGACGAGUCUAAUACUUACCAACAAACCAUACAAAGAAAACAUUAACAUACAAAUUUAAAAUACUAUAGGAGUAUUUUGCGUUACAAUAGAACCACAUACCUAGAUUCUUCAUAUGCUUCUUACCCCUAUUCUCGCAUAGGCAUAUCAGCUAGACUUCAUCUCCACAUAGACCCCUACUAUCCUGCCACCGAAGCCAAUAGAUGGUUCAAGAAGGAUCCAGAAGGAGAUUUCGAAGAGUACCAAUAGAUGAAAUACGAGGAAGAAGAUUUCCGAGAAGGGACCAGAUGGAGAAAGAAGUUCGGGAGAUACCAUCAAUAAACCUUACCCUAUCAAGAGGAGUGUGAGAACCUCCACCUCUCAUUUCAGGAAGCAACCUGCAAUUAACUACCUAGCCACACAUAUAGACUGGAGAGGACAACCGAUGAUCCACAACCGACAUAAACUCACUGCACCGUACUUCGGGCCAUAGCACCCAUAGACCGGCAAGCAGAUCAAGAGAACAAUACGGAUCACCUACACUCCUUAGAAAAGGAGAUAGUCGUUAUAGGACAAAGAACCCUUACAGCUACAACCUGGACAGUCAUCACAGAACUGAGAACAUAGGAGGCCACUCGCGAAAUAGAAUCAUGCCAACACAUGAAGGUAAUUAGCAUACUGGUGCAACACUAGUUCUAUAAAUAGACCCUACAACAUUUCAAAUUGCGGUAACAGCUGCCGUGACAGCAUUCAUGGCACAACUCAGCGCUAAUAACACAAACAAAAGCGGGAACGGCGCCGAAAGUUCCAAUCGUAAUAAUAACCAGGGACACCCCGAGUAUGUUCCUGCAACGACGCCCCAAAUCAAGGACCUACCAAAAGACAACAGACAGUGACAUUCCAUACCACCACCAUCCCUACUACCUCAGUGCCGACAAGACCAUAUGUUGGAAACCUGCCAAAAUGCACCAAGUGUAGCUUUCAUCACAAAGGAAAGUACAGGGAAAUGCACUGCAAGAACUGUAAUGAAAAGGGGCAUACCACAAAUUUCUGUAGGGUGCCGGCUCAACAGACCACCCAGAACACAAAGGCUGGGAUGAUUCGGACUUGCUACAGAUGUGGAGAAGUAAGGCAUUUCAUAAAGGAGUUCCUGGAGACUAAAAACAAAGAUGUCAGGAGCGUCGGAAGUGUUUUAGCAAUAGAGCAUGGGAAAACUGUAAUAGACCCCGCUGAGAUUCCGGUACGUUCAUUCCCGAUAGCACAUAUGCAUGGAUACUAUAUAAUAGUAACGCAGAGAGGAGUAUUGUGAGUCGUAGAUUUAAUCAAUUUCUCAACCAAAAACCUCAAAAACUUAAUCGAAAUAUUUACAGUAGAAUUGGAAUAAUCAAAAGCACUAGAGACGUGUACAUAGGGUGCACUCUAACACUAAAUCAACCAAUUCGUUCAAAUCAUCCUAACACCGGUCACAAUAAAAAUUUACAACAUUUUCAUUUUAACAACGUAUUAGUUAGUUUCCUCACCAUACCGAUAUCAUAUAUUAAGAAAAGGCCAUUUGCCUAAACCCAUCGAGUAAUAGAACCCUCGUUGUCUAUGGCGACAAACCGGACACAAACCCCUGACUCACCUUUUACAACAAGACUCAGAAGUACCUACACAGGAGGUACCACGCCAUCCUAGCCCGCGCUGUGGAUAAGAAACAAGAAGAGAAAGACAUCAAUGAUGUUGAAAAAGCCCGUAACCUUCUCGAUAUAUUCCGAGAAGAUCUCCUGGGAAUACCAUCCGUACGGCAACUCGAGUUCAAAAAUCAACCUAAGUGCAGUAGUUAUGGAAAAAGGGUUGUUGUAAAUGCCAUCUCACCCAAGUUAAUCACCCCACUCAAGUAGAGACUAUGGACCCAUACUAGUGAAUCUAUGAUUACUAAGUGUAUAUAUUGGAGCCCUAUAUAAUUAAGAUUCUACGGACUUAGGGUUGGUAAUUCCGCUUUAAAUCCUUUUCCUUGUUUGGAUGUGGGCUUAGAAUAGAAUCACCGAUUCGACUGUCUUUUCAAUCUUAAUUAUGUACGACUUAUAAACACAAAGAGAUGAUAGCUGAAUCAGUUAUGAGUCAUACCAUGAAAUCCAUGACAAGUUGCCCAGGACAGUGGGUGGAAAUGCUACCUCUUGAGCGAUCGUAGACAAAACAACCAAACCCACACACUUUCUACCGACCAAGGCUACAAAGAAAAAUAGAAAAGCUGACAGGAGCAUAUAACAAGAAGAUUGCGAGACUGCAGAGUAUACCACUAUCUAUCAUUUUGGAUAGGGGACUGAUGAUUCGCCUCGUGUUUUCGAUAUUCGUUAAACAAGUCCUUUUUAUCACCCUCAAACUGAAAGACAAAGAGGAAGAACCAUUCAUUGAAUCCUUAUACAACAUCAACUAUUACAUUAACAUCAAAGUCGCAUCAUUCGAAGCUCUUUGUAGAAGCAAGUGUAGAUCACCUCUUUGAUGGGAUGAGGUAGGUGACACGCAAAUAGCUAACAGGCAAGUUCCUAACAACACUCUCACCAGCCCCCAGAUCAUACGAGAACUACAGAGAAGAUUGUUCAAACCCGUGAACAAUUGAAUGCAUCCAAGGAUUGGAAGAAGAGCUUGUCUGAUGAGACUCUUGUUAUUCCACUGGAUGAAAUUGAAAUCAACGGGAGUCUAAACUUCAUCGAAGAACCGGUGGAAAUCAUGGAUCAGGAGGUCAAAAGGGCGAAACAAAGCCGCAUACCCAUAGUGAAGGCCCGUUGGAACGCCAAGCGAGGACCUAAAUUCACUAGGGAACGCGAGAAUCAAACAACAAAAAAUGAAACACCCCCAAUUGUUUAGUGAUAUCCCGUCUACAAGUUGAAUUUCGGGGCGAAAUUCUUUUAACGGGGGAGAAUGUAACAAUUGGUAAAAAUAGGAACGAUCGUACGAUGCUAUGUUUUGAUUAUUAAGCAAUAUGAGUAUUUUAUCAAGAAUGUUCGAAGGAAUUUAACCUCUUUUAUUUAAAUAAGUUCUUGUGAAAUAUAAAACAAGUAACUAAUGAUAAUUUCGUUAUGAUGUAUGACUACGAACCAUCACCGGUUUGUGAAAAUUAGCAUAUAACAUCAUUUAAACGCAACAAACUUAAUUUUUGUAUCAGCAUUUCUCUAGUUGAUAAGUAAGUUAGGGUCAAUGUAAAACGUUUGCUUAAUAGACGUGGAGGAUCUAAAUUUGACAAAUAUACGAACCAAAGUGACAAAACGUGUUUAACGAUAUGGUUAACCGGUUAAAUGUCACGAAAUUAUACAUUGGUCAAUAAAUUUUAUAUUUAAAUAAAUUAAAAUAUAAAAUGAAUUAUUAUAAGGUAUAAUUAGAAUGUAUUUAAGUGUUUUUGAAUAAAAAGAAUAAAACAUAAACAUUAAAGUUCAAAUACACAAAAACUACAUUGUUAUUUUAUACUAAGUAUACAUGUAUGUAUUUGUAUAUAUGUAUUAUUAUCUAGUGAAUGACUAGUUAUGGGUCAUGACUUAAAGUGAUUUCAUGUAAGUUUUAUGAUGUCUAAAUCAAUUAAGAUAAGAGAAUUGGUGGAGAUAAGUGCCAACUUAAUUAAUAAGUGCUUAAUCACUUAAGACAUUUUACUAAGAAUGCUUCUUAAUCCCUCUUCUAAUUUUCGAGAUUAAGACCUUCCCUCUCCUUAACUAGAACUCCUAACUAACUAAAUAACUAGUAGUUAGUUAGUUAACUAACCCUAUCUCUAAGCAACCACCCAAGCAAGUGGCUAGACAAGAUCACAUCACUUAAACUCACAUCCCAUCACAAGCUAGUCUAGGUUUUGUCCCCUUAUCCUCUUCCACUCUUUCCUCCUUCAUAUCCACGAAAUUUCCUCUUCAUUUUACCCUCAUUUGACCAGCCAAUACUCCAGGGAAUUACUCUCAACCUUCAUCUCAUUUUCAAGCACAAGAACUUCCUUCUAAAGCCAUCAAAACCAUGAACUAAAGGGCUGCUGUCCCUUUUGUGUUUCAGCCACCAUUUCACCCAUCUACACCUUCCUUUUGCUUGAUAUUUUUACCACCAAAUACCCCUGGAUGUUACUUGUUAUGAUACUCAAAAUUAUUGAUUCAAAACAGUGAGUAAACUACCCUUUUUCUUGCUCUUUUGCUGUGAAAUUUUCGUGACAGCAACAUAGCCAAAAGAGUGGCUGUUUUGGAGCAUCAAACCAACAACCAAAAGUUCAUCUUCAACCUUCCAUUCUUCAAGUAUUCACAUAAGGUGAGUUCAUACCCCUACAUUUUCAUGUUUUCUUCAAGUUUUAAGGGGGGGAAUACAAGUUAGAACACUAAACAUAACUUAAAUUUAAAUGACAGCUUUCUACAGAAAAGUUGAGUCCUGUUCACGGACUGUUUUGAUCAUCUUAAACUUAAUAUAUUUCAAAACUGUACAAUAUACGAAUAGUUCAAGUUUAUAACUUUUCUAAGGACUACUCUCACGCGUUCAUAUGAUUUUUCUACAAUUUAUGGCGAUUUUUAUAAAAACUAUAUGUCAUUUCAGAAGUGAUUUCGGACCAGUCUGUGAAUAUGCUCUUUUCACACUAGUUUGAGACCAUUAAAAAUCAUAAUAAAAAUUAGGAACAAAGUAGACUCAUUUUAUAAACUCUUAGAUGUGACGGAUUCAGUUUUUGACUUACGAUGAUUUUUCUAUGAGUUUUCUAAAAACAGGGACAGUAAAGGGUAAAACUGUCAAAAGUGGUUUAUAGAUUUAUUAACACCUUCUAACAUUUUUGAGCAAUGUUU